UAACCCAGCCUCCAACCCAACGUGGUUACAUCGCAACCUACCAUCGUCUCCAACACCAACCAUCACAACCAUCGCAAACGAUUACUUUAUAGACGGCUACACCGCCAGAGACUACGGCCCGAUGUCGAUGAAGGUCAUGGAUCAAAUGUUUAGUUAUAAGGCUUAGUGAAGGGUAACAAUCAGACAGAUGUUAAGGUUCUUCUUCUCUAACAGAGAAGUGACUUGAAAAGAAAACUUAAUUACACGAGGAUCUUCCGAAGCCAUAUGUUACUUUUGUAGAAAAGAAAUCCAGCAUAUUAUUUGUAUUUUCACAUUAGUUCUAAUGUUUAUCUAUUCUGGCACAA
rnacentral:sRNA from 1 species